ensembl:lncRNA
GGGCUUCCCUUGUGGCUCAGCUGGUAAAGAAUCCACCUGCAGUACAGGAGACCUAGGUUUGAUCCCUGGGUUAGGAAGAUCUCCUGGAGAAGGGAAAGGCUACCCACUCCAGUAUUCUGGCCAUGGGGUCGCAAAGAAUCAGACACGACUGAGCAACUUUCACUUUAACUUUUUUCGUGCCAGCCGAAGGGAGACAUAGGCUGAGCCGACCUCACAGGAGAAACUGUUCUCCCAAGCUCACAGAAGGACUAGGCAUGAUUGCCAGAGGCCUCGGGUUCCAGAACCAUGCCAGUAUUUCCUUCUCUCUUCUGAUGGGCUGAUUAAGAGGAAACUGACCACCUGUCAAACCAGUUGAUCCUAAAGAAAAUCAGUCCUGAAUAUUCAUUGGAAAGACUGAGGCUGAAGCUGAAACUCCCAAUACUUUGGCCACCUGAUGCGAAGAACUGACUCAUUGGAAAAGACACGGAUGCUGGGAAAGAUUGAAGGUGAAAGGAGAAGGGGACAACAGAGGAUGAGAUUGUUGGAUAGCAUCACCAACUCAUUGGACAUGAGUUUGAGUAAGCUUUGGGAGUUAGUGAUGGACAGGGAAGCCUGGUAUGCUGCAGUCCAUGGGGUCGCAAAGAGUUGGAUACGACUGAACUGAACUGACCAUCUGUGAGCACUUUUCUCCAGCUGGGGUGGGGAGCCACAGCCUAGGCAAAAACAGAGACACUGCCUCAAGUACUUAACUGGGAGGCAGGCAGCACAGCCUUGCCCAAGAUAAGCGCCUUGACCUUGACCUUAGUCCUGACCUCAGAUCCCAGAUUCACAAUAUCAGCCAUGUGAUCUUUGGCUGGAAUCAAGAGAGGGCAAACCAGAAGGCCCAGCUUCGGGUUUGACUCCCAGGACGACCGGCUGGAAGGAAAAGCAACAGGCAAAACAGGCUCCUGAGGCACUGGAAUAGUGAGACUACAUUGUUACACUGGUGACAGUGUCUGCUGAAGAAGCGCCAGAGCUGUAUGC